UUCAGAAUCACAUAGAAGUGUGUCGGUAAAUUCUUGGACUAAGAGAAUUAUAACUUAUAAUCUGGUUUUACUAAAAAGAUUUUUAAGGAUAAGCUUAAAAAUCGUGAGAUAAAUUGCAUCAGCUAGAGGUUAAGGUAACGUAAGCUUGAGAUUGGCUAUCGUCACGAGUUUGUUAUAAAAUAACUUACUUANNGUUUAAAAGAUUCUUAUGCUUANNUAUUUCUCUAUUUAUGAAGACAUGAAAAUAAAUUGAAUUUNNUUCAAAGCCUAUGCUAAGAUGAGUAUUCCUAUAACUAAAUUNUUAGAAAAAGAUAUUAUCAGCUUUUCCUUACNUAAAAGUUUUUGUAAAUUAAAUAAAAGAAAGGAACUCGGCAAGUUUAGUUGUUUCGCCUGUUUAUCAAAAACAUCGCUCCCUGUAAUAGAAAAAAUAAGGAGUUGGACCUGCCCAGUGAAAUUUUCAACGGCCGCGGUACUCUGACCGUGCAAAGGUAGCAUAAUCAUUUGCCUUAUAAUUGAAGGCUUGUAUGAAUGGUUUGACGAAAUCAACACUGUCUCUUUUUUAUUUUAUAGAAUUUGACCUAAGGGUGAAGAGGCCCUUGUUUAACUGAAGGACAAGAAGACCCUGUCGAGCUUAAAAAGUAAGCAGAGAAUUAAUAUAAAACUNNAUAGAUAGAUUACUGAGUAAUUNUUUUGGUUGGGGCGACUAAGGAACAAAAAAAGCUUCCUCUAUUCUCGCAAACUUUACGGGUUUUAGAUCCAGCCAGGCUGAUCAAAGAAAUUAGUUACCGCAGGGAUAACAGCAUAAUCUCCCUUGAGAGACCAAAUCGAAAGGGGGGGUUGUGACCUCGAUGUUGGACUAAGAUAUCCCGAAGGUGCAGAAGCCUUCGAAGGUUGGUCUGUUCGACCAUUAAAAUC
rnacentral:rRNA from 2 species